AGAGCUUUGCCACCUGUUUUCAGGCUGCCUCUGCCUCCAAACCCUGCGGAGCCCUCCCUGCCCCGUGCUUUGAAGCAGUUUCUUUGGAAGCUGCUGCACAGGGGUUAACAACAAGCAACAACUCAGGUCGCAUUCUUGUCAACGGAAGGGAGGGCCAGGUGGAACCGCCAAGGGGGCCAUUUCUGGCUUUGCUGGAGGCUGUCAGCUUCUGGUGGGAGCCACAGCCUGAGGGCAGCCAGGAUGGCUCUGCUGGGAGGGACACCCUGCCCAACCCUGGGAGCAGGUGACGAAGGCUCCUGGAGGCAUGGUCACAUCCCUGGGUCCCAGAGGCAGGAACAAAGCCCCCAGGGCAGGUGGGUGAAGGCUGCUGGGGGUCGGAGGGGAAGCCUUGCUGCCCAGGAGCUCAGGCCGGGCUGAAAAGGGCAAUGCCACAGAACCCCUGGAAGGAGCAGGACAGCAGACAGUGUUCCAGAUGAGACUGCAGAGGGCCGGGGAGCCAAGUACCAAGGGGACGUCAGGAGGGGCCAUGAGGCCUCCUCUGAAAGCCACUGUGGCACCAGCAUUUGCGAAGGGCCUGAAUGACUCCUCUUUUAAUGGACAGGCAUCCAAGGGCUUCCGGAGAGCCACAGAAAACCUGGCGUGGAGGUUGCUGCUUGCCUUCUAGGAAUGAUCUUGGAUGUGCUGGUGGCAAUUCCCCCUCCCUUUGGUGAUCCCCCUCACAUCUGCCCCAAGCGACUUCUCCAGGGCCAGCCUUAGGAGGCAGAGAGAUCCCGCUCUGGACUGCUGUCCCAGGCCCUGAGGGUGCCAUGGGUUACAUGUGUGUUUACAUGAGUCUAUGAGUUGAAUCCCCAUAAGCCUGGGGGAAGCACCAUGUCUGAAGCAGCAGCUGCAUUUGUAAGAUGAAGAUCUGAGCCAGUUUUUCAUUAUAUCUGCAGUGUUCAUCAAGAAAGGGCCUCCGGGUUUGUGUUUACUGGACAUGAAUUGAGCUGCUCUCCAGAGAUAAGAAAAAAAUAUUACAGCCCUGCUAUGUGGGCACCCCACGGCAGCCCCCGGGGUUAAGGGGCAGCUUUCUUUCCAAGGAAUCCCAUUGCCAAAGAUGAACCUUCAGAUGGGGAAACUGAGGACCCAGAGGAAGCAAGAGCAGCCCCAGGCCACACAACCCUCUUUUUAUUAUUCAUUCACUGACUACACUGCAGAGGUUGGACCCAUAUCUCAUUAUUUGAAUAGUAAAUUGUUUUUUCUUCCUGACCCUUGGUCUGUUGGGUCUCUCAUUGCGCCAUGCAUCCAAGAAAGAACGUUCUGAAGCUUUCCAGUGCCACCCAAUCCCUGUAUCCUACUUUAUGCUUGAAAGUAAAGCUCACGGGUUUUUUUCUACUUCGGGUUGUUUAAAUAACCACAAUCGGUCGGGAGCGGUGGCUCACGCCUGUAAUCCCAGCACUUUGGGAGGCCGAGGCGGGUGGAUCACCUGAGGUCAGGAGUUAGAGACUAGCCUGGCCAACAUGGUGAAACCCCGUCUCUACGAAAUAUACAAAAAUUAGCCGGGCGUGGUGGCGGGCCCCUGUAAUCCCAACUACUGGGGAGGCUGAGGCUUGAACCCGGGAGGCGGAGGUUGCAGUGAGCCGAGAUUGCGCCAUUGCACUCCAGCCUGGGCGACAAGA
rnacentral:lncRNA from 1 species